CUUGGCCCGGAGCGCUCUUGAUCACGCCGCGGCGGGUGGUGGCGCUCACACUAACUAUAGCUAUCCAGGGCGCGGGUCGAGUGGCGAGACCAGCUCCCCUGGGUAUGAGAACGCAUCUUUGUGCGGUCGGCUGGCUGGGGCCUGAAGAGCUUCCUCCUGUGUGUUCAACUGAACGCAGCAAAAGUCUUGGGCAGAUUCCAUGGAGCAGCUGUGGAAGCACUGUGCAGGGAAUCGAAGAAGGAAACACCUCCAGCGACCACAAAACAAAAUUGAAGAACUAUAAAACAAUAUAGGCCGGGCAUGGUGGCUCACGUGAGUGAGGGGAUGGAUGGCUCCGCGGACUGGCCCCCGCCCCAGGAGAAAGAGUGCGUGGCCGUGGCAACGCUGAAUCUUCCCCGACUUCAGGUCUGGGCAGCGUCUUCCUGAACAGCCUGAAGCAGAAGGUGGUGACCCUGGCAAGCAGCGCAGACGUGCUGAGCACCGUGCAGUCGGCCUCCCAGGCCAUGCUGCAGAGCGGCUGGUCCAUGCUGUUGCCCACCGCUGAGAAGCAGGCCCGGGCACUCUGCUCUCCUGUCCUGCGGAGUUUCAGGCAAUGAAGUGAGCAUAAGUCCAGGUCAUCGAUUGGUGAUUGAUCUUCUGGUGGGCAGCUUGAUGGCUGAUGGAGGGUUGGAGUCAGCCUUACACGCAGCCAUUACUGCAGAGAUCCAGGAUACAAAAAAAGAAGCACGGAAGGAAAAAGAAAUUUAUGAACAGGAAGCAAAUGCCUCAACAUUUCAUAGAAGGAGGACUCCAUUGGAUAAAGGCCUUAUUAAUACGGGGAUCUGUGAGUCUUCUGGCAAACAGUGUUUGCCUCUGGUUCAGCUCAUACAACAGCUUCUUAGGUAAAUCAUAUUAGCUGUAUUGUAUUGUGUUUUAUUUAUUUACUUUUUUGUUUUUUGAGACAGAGUUUCGCUCUUGUUGCCCAGGCCGGAGUGCAGUGGUGCGAUCUUGACUCACUGCAACCUCCGCCUCCCAGGUUCAAGUAAUUCCUCUGCCUCAGCCUCUCGAGCAGCUGGGAUUACAGGCAUGCGCCACCAUGCCCCACUAAUUUUGUAGUUUUGUUAGAGACAGGGUUUCUUCAUGUUGGUCAGGCCGGUCUUGAACUCCCGACCUCAGGUGGUCCAUCCACUUUGGCCUCCCAAAAUGUUGGGAUUACAGGCAUUAGCCACCACGCCUGGCCUAUUUAUUUACUUAUUAAUGGUGUUUUUUUUUUGUUUUUUUUUUUUUUGAGAUGGAGUCUUGCUCUAUCGUCCAGGCUGGAGUGCAGUGUCACGAUCUUGGCUCACUGCAACCCCCGCCUCCUGGGUUCAAGCUAUUCUCCUGCCUCAGCCUCCCGAGUAGCUGGGACUACAGGCGUCUGCAACCACACCUGGCUGAUUUUUGUAUUUUUAGUAGAGAUGGGGUUUUACCAUAUUGGUCAGGCUGGUCUCAAAUUCCUGACGUCAGGUGACCCACCUGCCUUGGCCUCUCAAAAUGUUGGGAUUACAGGUGUUAGCCACUGUGCCUGGCCUGUAUUGUAUUUUAAUAGGUGAUUAUUGGUUUUCAUAUUAAGAUAGUGAAAUCUAGCGCAAGGAUCUCAAAAAUUUGUUUGAUGAUUGAAGGAAUAUUCUGAAAAUUACCUAGUAUAGAUGUUAGGAUAAAGAGCAGACCCUUUUCAAUAUAGGUGAGAGGAGAAGUUGGAGGGUGUGAUGAUACUCAAAAGUUUUUCACUGAAGAGAAAUUGGGGCGUGCAGUAAACAUGUAAAAAGAUUCUUACUAAUAAGCAGGUGGAUGCAAAUGAAAAUCAUCAUGGAAGGUUAUUUUUAAAACUGGUUCUAUCAUUGCCUCACUUUAUAUAUUACAGAGUUAUACAUACUACUUUGUAAGAUAACUUUUCUUUUCAAAACUGAAGUCAAUGUGAUAGAAUGGUGAGCAUUAUUUUGGAAGGCCAGACUAGGAGGAGGUGGGAGGAAGAAGUCAGACUCAGCCUGUGAACAGACGCUAACCUUGGCAGAAGCCAAAACAGUCAGACAGUGUUGUCUAAAAAUGAUCAUUCAAGAAGAGCGAAACAGCAAGGUGAUUUGUGAAAGAGAUUUAUUAGAAAAUGAAACACAUUUAUACCUCUGUUCAAUAAAAAUCUGCUUUUCGUCAACUGAUGCUCCUGGUUUUUGUUUCUACACAUAGAGAAAGCAGAGCCCUGGCAGCUUGGGUCAGGC
rnacentral:lncRNA from 1 species